ACGACCUUACUUGAACAGGAUCAGUUCUAUAGGCUCGUACCUCUGUAUCCUUGAUUUCUAAGGAGACAGGCCCUAAACCCUGGUUGAUGAACUAUGACCGUGCGAUCAGAGCGUGAUUAACGGCCACGAUCAUCUUCCAGAUGCAUCCGGUGCUGUAGAGGAUCGUUACUCGGUUCGGUUUAUUCUAAGCCGGGGUGGUCGCACGGCGGUCUGACAGGUU
rnacentral:snoRNA from 1 species